rnacentral:lncRNA from 1 species
AUGCUCCGGAGCCCAUCAGAGUCCUCAGGAGCUGACUGGGCUCUCGUUCCUCCCCUGUGGCAGCAAUGGGCCAUUUCCAUCAGAGGCGGUGCCAUGCUGACCCAAAUGCCUGAGUGCUACUCACCUCCAGAGAGUGAGGAGUCUGAAAAGUUCUCUUAUUGUUUGUUUGCUUGCUUGCUUGCUUGCUUGCUUGAGCCCCAGAGAUUCAGCCCAGGACCCAGGACCUCUUCAAUACUCGGCAGGCAGUGUGCAGCUGAGCUACUCCCGUGGCCAGGAACAAGUUUGGUUAUGUAUAUGGGUUUUUUGUUUUCUGUUGCAGGGCUGGGAUCAAAACCAGGGACAUUUGCAUGCUAGUCACAUGCUUUGCCCACUACACUAUAUCUCCAUUUCUAUUGUGUUGAUACUCUUGAAACAUCUAAGCCACUCCCACAGCUGACUCUGAUACAAAUUGACUGGGUUCUUUCCUUCUCCUUAGAUUCAGAUAAGCAUCUGGGUUUACCUGAACAUCAGGGUAUUGUCAUCUGCCCUGAUAAGAGAUGGCCCUGUGAUAUUCUCCUAAAAUGGUUUCUGUCAAACAUCCCCUUUAUAAAUUACCUUUUUUAUUUCUUGCAAUUAGUAAAUUUGGCAA